rnacentral:rRNA from 1 species
GACGAACGCUGGCGGCGUGCUUAACACAUGCAAGUCGAACGGAAAGGCCCUGCUUUUGUGGGAUGCUCGAGUGGCGAACGGGUGAGUAACACGUGAGUAACCUGCCCUUGACUUUGGGAUAACUUCAGGAAACUGGGGCUAAUACCGGAUAGGAGCUCCUGCUGCAUGGUGGGGGUUGGAAAGUUUCGGCGGUUGGGGAUGGACUCGCGGCUUAUCAGCUUGUUGGUGGGGUAGUGGCUUACCAAGGCUUUGACGGGUAGCCGGCCUGAGAGGGUGACCGGCCACAUUGGGACUGAGAUACGGCCCAGACUCCUACGGGAGGCAGCAGUGGGGAAUAUUGCACAAUGGGCGGGAGCCUGAUGCAGCAACGCCGCGUGCGGGAUGACGGCCUUCGGGUUGUAAACCGCUUUCGCCUGUGACGAAGCGUGAGUGACGGUAAUGGGUAAAGAAGCACCGGCUAACUACGUG